AUAUUAUACAAAGCUGUUAACUUUGUGAUGUGCCUUAGAGCACCCCUUUAGUAUAAUUUAUAGAGA
rnacentral:tRNA from 1 species